UGCAGAGAAAUGUGCAGGGCAGGGGCUCCGGACGGGCUGCAGAGAUGCACUGGCCCCUCUCCUCCAGGGACAAGCCUGGCCACAGGAAAUAAAGGUGUCUUCCAAGGGACACACCGAAGGACAAGCACUUAAGACACAAACACGGGCACAGUCCAGGGGGCAGCUUGGAGCCCGAGCAGCCCUGUUUGUAAUAACCACACAUGGGAAGGGACCCAAAUGCCCCUCAGCUGUAGAACAGAUACACCGACAGCAUUCUCCGGUCGGUGCAGUGGAAUGACAGCGCUGCUACGAAUAGUGCACAGACACACAUAACAUGAUGACUCACGCAUGAUUUUGGGCAACCAGCUACAGAGCGCCUACCCUAUGGCAUGUACUCAGCCAGAUGCAGGGUACUAGAGCCGGCAGCAAGAUCCACUGUCCCUCCUGGAGGAUCCUGUAGCAGAAUGGGAAGCGCCUCUGAGAAAGGAAUGCCUGCUAGGCCCUGCAGCCGGGGAGCCCAGCAUAGGACCUGCUCAUAGUAGGUCCCGCAUCAGUGUUUCUGAAAAGGCAAAUGAAUGCAUGCAUAAAAGCGUAUGCGUAAAGUUUCAUGUGAAUAAAAUUUAAAC